UGUGUGACCCACACCGUCCUGGAUCAGCCCUGGAGGAGCACGAAUUGUUUCAACACUGAGUGUACCCAUGGACAAUGGAUGGGUGAUGGAAAUCUUGAUGUGGGAUGGUACAGGUUUGACAGUUCUGGAGGAUGGAAGAUUCCCGAGACAGUCUUACCAGAGGAUCGCUGCUCUGGAGUGAUCCCAGGCUGGAUAAACGGUUCCCAUCCCAACGUGGGAGAGGGGGAGGUGACGCUCACCGCAUGUUUCCCCUGGCGUGAUUACACUUGUUACUGGAGUCGGGAGAUCGGGGUGAAAA